rnacentral:rRNA from 1 species
UACGGGGGGGGCAAGCGUUGUUCGGAAUUACUGGGCGUAAAGGGCUCGUAGGUGGCCAACUAAGUCGGACGUGAAAUCCCUCGGCUUAACCGGGGAACUGCGUCUGAUACUGGAUGGCUUGAGUUCGGGAGAGGGAUGCGGAAUUCCAGGUGUAGCGGUGAAAUGCGUAGAUAUCUGGAGGAAUACCGGUGGCGAAGGCGGCAUCCUGGACCGGCAUUGACGCUGAUGAGCGAAAGCUAGGGGAGCAAACGGG